GAUGAACGCUAGCGGCAGGCCUAACACAUGCAAGUCGAACGGUAACAGAUCUAGCUUGCUAGAUGCUGACGAGUGGCGCACGGGUGCGUAACGCGUAUGCAAUUUACCCCUAACUAGAGAAUAGCCUUUCGAAAGGAAGAAUAAUACUCCAUAAUAUUUCGCUGUGGCAUCACAGCGUUCUUAAAGCUUCGGCGGUUAGGGAUGGGCAUGCGUCCUAUUAGUUUGUUGGUGAGGUAACGGCUCACCAAGACUACGAUAGGUAGGGGGCCUGAGAGGGUUAUCCCCCACACUGGUACUGAGACACGGACCAGACUCCUACGGGAGGCAGCAGUGAGGAAUAUUGCACAAUGGAGGAAACUCUGAUGCAGCAACGCCGCGUGGAGGAUGACGCAUUUCGGUGUGUAAAACUCCUUUUAUAUGUCAAGAAAAUGACGGUAGCAUAUGAAUAAAGCACCGGCUAACUCCGUGCCAGCAGCCGU
rnacentral:rRNA from 1 species